UGGGGAAUAUUGCACAAUGGGCGAAAGCCUGAUGCAGCAACGCCGCGUGAGUGAUGAAGGUCUUCGGAUUGUAAAGCUCUGUCUUUUGGGACGAUAAUGACGGUACCAAAGGAGGAAGCCACGGCUAACUACGUGCCAGCAGCCGCGGUAAUACGUAGGUGGCGAGCGUUGUCCGGAUUUACUGGGCGUAAAGGGUGCGUAGGCGGAUGUUUAAGUGAGAUGUGAAAUACCCGGGCUUAACUUGGGUGCUGCAUUUCAAACUGGAUAUCUAGAGUGCAGGAGAGGAGAAUGGAAUUCCUAGUGUAGCGGUGAAAUGCGUAGAGAUUAGGAAGAACACCAGUGGCGAAGGCGAUUCUCUGGACUGUAACUGACGCUGAGGCACGAAAGCGUGGGUAGCAAACAGGAUUAGAUACCCUGGUAGUCCACGCCGUAAACGAUGAGUACUAGGUGUAGGAGGUAUCGACCCCUUCUGUGCCGCAGUAAACACAUUAAGUACUCCGCCGGGGAAGUACGAUCGCAAGAUU
rnacentral:rRNA from 1 species